UACGUAGGGGGCAAGCGUUAUCCGGAAUUACUGGGUGUAAAGGGAGCGUAGACGGUAAUGUAAGUCUGGAGUGAAAGGCGGGGGCCCAACCCCCGGACUGCUCUGGAAACUAUGUUACUAGAGUGCAGGAGAGGUAAGCGGAAUUCCUAGUGUAGCGGUGAAAUGCGUAGAUACUAGGAGGAACACCAGUGGCGAAGGCGGCUUACUGGACUGUAACUGACGUUGAGGCUCGAAAGCGUGGGGAGCAAACAGG
rnacentral:rRNA from 1 species